UUAUUGUCUUUGUCGAUUAAAUACCUGUAUUGUAAAAUUGUAUGACUAUAAAAGGAUAAAUUUUGAUUUACUAAAGGUGAUCUUCUGAGAUAUUUUGAGGGAAAGAGGUAGUAUACCAAAAUGGAAAUACUACGCAAGAAACUUACAACCAAGUUGAAAAGACAAGAGCCAUAAAAUAAAAUAAUAGCAAAUUAAUAUAAAACCUGGAUAAAGAAUGUAAUAACUAGAUGACCAAUUUGAGAGUGCUUAUUGGGACUUAUGAAGAAAAAGAAAUUGAAAAAAGGAGCUCUUUCUGAGAUGAAGAGAAUUCUCAAUGUCAAGAUUUGAACAAGAAGAGAAUGGAAUACACAAUAUGGACAUCCAUAAAAAUUCAUCAGAGAGCAUUUUACUACUGAGCUGCAAAGGGAAAAACUUAAAAUGGAUAUGAAAAGUGAAGAAAGUGAUCAUAGGAGAAAACCAUUUCAGGUGUCUGAUGAUUUGUGAGCCUCAAGUGACUACUCUGUGGAAUCAUCUGUCCUUGCCUUUGAAUUAGCUUUCCCUAGGCCAUGAGUCAACAUUAGUAGUUUAUACAUCCAAAUUGAUGACAAGAGCACCUCAAAGGCAGCAGCCUCAAGGAGCAGCCAUGGCCCCAGACUUGUCGCACGGAUGCAGAAAACUUAAUGGAGGAGGCUGAGGUCAGAAUGGGAAGAGUUUUUAAAAAAUAAAAAGGGGAGCUAAUAUGU
rnacentral:lncRNA from 1 species